rnacentral:lncRNA from 1 species
AAAGAGUCGGAUACGACUGAGCGACUGAACUGAACUGAACUGAACUGAAAUGCGGCUGUGAGGAUGUGAUUGGAGGAGGGUUCGUAGAUGGGGGGAUUUGUUGGGGGGAUACUGAAGUCAUCUAGGAGGGACUCGUCGCUUAGACUAGAGUGGCGGUAGUGGAGAUACUUAGAGGGAAGUGGAUCUGAGAGCUGCUCAGCUGUCGCUGUGCAGGGUUUGGUGAUGGGCUGAAGUGCCGUGUGAGGAGGAAAGCAUGUCAGGGCGAGCUCUGAAGUCUCUGGUUUACAAAGUGAAGAUGGUGGUUGAAGCUGAAACAGGAUAAGGUGUGAGCUAUAAAAGCCAAGAGACCCCAGGGUACCACCCUAAGGAAAUUAAUUUCAACCUUACUGCUCACUGCUUCUGAGCUCCAGUUUCUCCCUGUUCACCCAAGUGUUCAGGCAGGUGGUUGGAUUGGAAUAGUGUGAGCAGGUUCGUGAAGGAAGCCAAGACCUCACUGGAAUUAGGAUUCCAUCUCUCAGCCCACUCACCUGUGGUUGAAUGGAGAACAUCCGUCCAUGAGCCCGGUUUUUGCAGACCUCUUGGGGGUAUUUUUCUCCCCUUUUCACUGAUGGCCUCUGACCAGCUUUCUCAAGAGAACUUCUCAACGAGUUGUAACAAAGCUUUGGGAUUCCUUAUUGCUGGGAAGACUCUUGUCUUAAGUUUCAUCUGACUUUUCUUCAUCCUGACCCCGGGAGUUCAGAAAUGUGCCAGAGGGAGUCUGUGACUCAUUCUCCCAGGAGCAGACCUAAACUGCAGGUGGUCCCUGAGGGAAUGCUGGAGAGGUCCUGGGGAAGGUUGUCUGGGAACCGCUGUGGACAGAUGGUCUUCACUGACAGCGUCCAACCACGGUGAGCCUCUCUUCCCAGGUUACUGAGACUCAGAAAGCCAAGAUGUACACAGGGAGGCAGUCAACGUAAUCCCCAGGUCUCACGGGAAGUGAUGGGAAGUAACAAUGACGUCAACGUGUGAGCUCUUUGACUGGGAGCUGUGGCUUCCCCAGCUGUCAUUUCCUCCGAUCUUCAG